rnacentral:pre_miRNA from 12 species
AGCUUGGGUUCUGUCAAUGGCACUGGAAGAAUUCACGGGGGAAUUUAGCAACAGUCCCGUGGAACUCCCGUGUCAUACACAGCGUCCGGCU